AAGACUUAUCAAAUGGCAUUAAGUGAAAGCAUUUCUUAUUGCUGUUGAAUCUGUUCUCCUGCUGCUGCUUCUCCAUAACCUGUGUCGACCUGACCCUUCCAACGCCAGCACCGCGUGGAAUCUCCUGUCGACCRGGAUGAACCUUUCCAGCAGCCAGGAGGGCUGGCGAAGCAUGAGUCCAGUGCCACUGUCUACAGUACUCACAUGACAUGCCAAAUGCUGGAGGCCAAAACUUACAACUUGGAUGCRUGUGGAGCAAUCCAGUGUCUCCUUAUGCAAACUUUCAAGGGAUUCUUCUCUUGUGGGCAGCGUCAAAAGCCACAARUGUGCAAUGUGCCUUACAAAGGAGCUGAAGACCUAUGGAGAAGUCAGAAACUGGCUGGAGAGCAACAAAAGCAGGSGGGAAGGAGCCCCUGGAGCUUGAUCACCUUCUCCCAGGUUGCAGCAUUUAUACUGCUGGCUGAUGGACAGAAGCAUGGAAAGGCUCUACUUGUUUUAGAAGUGGAUGUAUCUUUCAUUUUAACUAAGAUUGCCUGUCUCUAAAAGAACAACGUUUAUCCCUGCAGCCAUGCCUUUGAAUUCUUUAUGGCAUGAAUUUUUUGUGACUGCCAGAACCAGCGAAGUUGCAAGGUGAGACCAGUCAGUCUUUUUUCAAUUAUGCACUUUGAUUUUAUCUGCUAACUUGUCUCCUCUUGGACUGUUGACCGUUAAGAUUUCCCAUUCCCACAUCUUACCGAUAAGUCUGAAGAGCAAAGAGAUACUUCCUGGAUGUUUUCGGAUUGAAGUUAGCUGAAGAUGUACAGUUGUCUUCGUGAAUGGUGUUCCCAAGUAAAUGACUUGGCAGAACCAGACAAAAAUCUUGGCUGAUAGCCUAGUAUGUGGCUUGGUUGAUAAAUAUGAGUUUAUAAAAGAAAUAUUUUGCAUUCUUUAUACUGUGUUUUGAAGGGCUGAAAGCUGAAACAAAUCCUGACUGACUGCUGGGKUUACAGAACAUCAGUGAGGACACUUUCAAAUUCUGGUAGAAAAACUUUGGGGAAAACUGUACCGUUAAUUUCCGAUGCCCUUCAACUUGCAGCUUUUUUUCUGGUGCUUCUUGGUAUUUUAUUUCCUGGUGACCUGAAAAAUGCAGAGAAAUUGUGGCCCAUGAUUGCUUUGUCUUAGCGUGGGGUCUGUUGGGUGGAAAAUACCUAUUACAUGGAGUGAACAACAAGGUGUUUCUGGCGUGAGGGGGAUACAAGAACUACAAAGCAAACGGUGAAUUUCUUCUAAAUGCCAGGCAAGCAUUCUUCUGCUGUGAUGCUAAAGAGAAGACUACUUUUUUUUUUUAAUAAAUAAAAGUUAAUUGUAGUUGUUUUAUUUCA
rnacentral:lncRNA from 1 species